UACGUAGGGGGCGAGCGUUGUCCGGAUUUAUUGGGCGUAAAGAGCGCGUAGGCGGCUAUUCAAGUCGAACGUGAAAGCUCGGGGCUCAACCCCGAGAUUGCGUUCGAUACUGGAUGGCUAGAGGCUGGUAGGGGGGUGUGGAAUUCCUGGUGUAGCGGUGAAAUGCGCAGAUAUUGGGAGGAACACCAGUGGCGAAGGCGGCCCUCUGGACGGAUACUGACGCUGAGACGCGACAGCGUGGGGAGCAAACAGG
rnacentral:rRNA from 1 species